GAAGCAAAGGAGGAGUCAUUGAAGCGAAGGAGGAGUCGUUGAGGGAACAGGAUAGCAACAUCAUUAUUAAUCUGUGUGAAAUGUCUGUCGACGAUUCAACAUGAAAUGGUCCAGUUUGUUCACUGUUUAAAAUUGUUUGUUAUGCAGUGAUGUGUAUUCAAAUUUGGAGUGUUUAUUUAUGAUUAAGAUUCGUCUAAUUUCCGUCGAAUGUAAUAUGCUUCUGAAUUUUAUUCUUGACUUGCAAUCGAUCCCUUGAGAAUUGGAAGACGGCAUGGCGCCAUGUUGGUGCCAAAUUCAAGUUAAGGCUAGUUUCCACUCAGGAAAAUUAUCCGUGCAUUGGAACGGACAAGAAAAUUUUGCUUUGUCUUGUGAGCUCUGGGUUGGAACUAAUGACUUGAACACAAAGAAAAAUUUUCUUGUCCGUUCCAAUCCAAGGAUAAUUUUCCUGAGUGGAAACUAGCCUUUAAUGAGAUAAGUUCUUUUGUUGAAAGGGGACCAACAUGGCCGUCGCCCACAUCAUUGUAAGUCAAGAAUUCAAUGGACGAAUCCCGACAAGGUGUAUAGAAAACCCAAACCUUUAGAAUUACCUUGACCAAAAUACUGUAUAUUAUGCUUUAACAACAAUAGAUUAACGGGCAUGUCUUUGUUACGCAUUGUCAAGUUUAACUCAAAUUUCUUGCGAGUUUUCCUGUCACCAUUUAUAGCCAGUAACCUGUAUGACAUUCGUAUCAGUACUGCAUAUCAUCAUUAGUAAUCGUCAUUGGUCGUCUACGACUACGGUGAUGCAUAAACAGCGACGAAUUCAACAUCAGGGUGUCCACCCUUUGGUGAAGGUGAAAUUCAAGGACUUUUCCAGGACUUUCAAGCCCUUUUUCAGCAAAUCCAAGGACCUAGGGCUGAGAACAUUUUUUGAAAAUGGCACGGAUUUCCCGUAAAUAAUUCAUUUUAUUCAAUCAUUUUAAUCAAAAUCACUAAUGUUGGCACAGCUGGAGGUUAAGGAAAUUAAUUUCAGAACUUUCAAGGACUUCUACUGAGUUUUCAAGCA